rnacentral:rRNA from 1 species
UACGUAGGGUGCGAGCGUUGUCCGGAAUUAUUGGGCGUAAAGGGCUCGUAGGCGGUUUGUCGCGUCGGGAGUGAAAACCUUGGGCUUAACUCAGGGCUUGCUUUCGAUACGGGCAGACUAGAGGUAUGCAGGGGAGAACGGAAUUCCUGGUGUAGCGGUGAAAUGCGCAGAUAUCAGGAAGAACACCGAUGGCGAAGGCAGCUCUCUGGGACGGUACUGACGCUGAGGCGCGAAAGCGUGGGGAGCGAACAGG